rnacentral:misc_RNA from 1 species
AAAAAUGUUCUCAUUCAAGUUCAUACGCAGUGUUCGACACUCGACGAUCCGUUAAUUUCAAUGUAUACUUUAUAUUUUGAAAAACAUUCGCCGCUUAUAUCCGUUCGAGCAACUGCGUCUUCAAAAGCUUCGAAUCCAAAUCCAAAUCCAGUUGUUUCGUGCGCUUUGUUGCCUCGGCAGCCUCACCCUUCCUCGUGGAGUGUUUUCGAGGUUUUAGAUAUUUCGGUAGGUUUCACUCGAUUUGGCGAGAACGGAGAAAUAAGCGACGUCCACAGGACUUUAUUUAAAAACUGCAAUCCUUCGAAUGUGGUCGACUUCGAGCGUAGGACGGCGACGCGAACGCUCGAGGAGGCUAUUUCGACGCCGAGAUCCUCGAACUGACGGGGCUGUGCAUUCUACAAAGGGAAGCGAUCGGACUGUCCUCUCAUCUCGACAACUUUUCUGUCGCUGUACCAUCAUAACGCUAUUGUUCGAUGGGUAAUUGGUUUUCAGGACUACCUGCGGCUCGGCUGUUGAUGCAAAAGGUGCUGUAGGGCCCUACUGCCUAACGUUUGCUGACGAGGACAUCCUUGCAAAGAAUGAGAUCGUGGAUCCUAGCAUCGGCCUCCAGAAAAGGAAGGAAUGAUCCAUGUCGGGCAAGGUGUGCACGUCAACCAGGAAUGCGGGCAACAUGCGGAGAGCAGAGUGCGACUCCAUGUUUUGCAAGAUCACUGCUGCUUCCAUAGGGCUGCUUUUGACUACACCUGAGGGAGAAAGGUACCACCAGGCUGAAAGGGCAGCCCGGCACCAGAAGAUAUGGCGGUACCUGUCAGAAAAGCUGUCCAAUCUCAAAAGAAAUCACUACCAAGGCUCAUCCCUUUGCUGCCUGUCCUCCCCCGAUGCGUGGUCCCACCACGGACUGCCCAUGCUGUUGCAGGUCUGCCAUCGCUUGCACCCCAUGUUGUAGCCUUUUUACCCUUUUCUUCAUAUUAAUUUAGCUUAAUUUAUAUAUUGCCAAUACUAUUGAAAUGGAACAAUUGUACUAUCGCAGCCAAUAUGAGCUGAAACGCCACUGCACGUGGCACGCGAUGAGAGUUGUCUCUCAGAUUGUUCAGCAAACCUUGGUAUGCUUUGAGGUAGAAACAAAUCACUUCUUGUGCUCGUUGCACCACUAUGCCGUUCCGUGUCAAUUUUCAGCUCAUGGUGGCACAAUGAGUGCAAGAAGCAACCUGCCUAAACCUCAGCAAACACAGCGGUUCACUGAUAAUCCGACAGGUGGCUCUGAUAGUACCGCACGCCAAGCGUCAUGGCGCUUCAACUAAUAUUGGUCACAAUAGUACUUCCUCGAAUGUUUCUGGUUUUUCUGUACUACCUAGCCAUUCCGCCCAGCGAAACAAUGUAUGAUUUCAUAACUUCAUAAUAAAAAUAUCAAA